rnacentral:tRNA from 12 species
UCGUCCAAUGGUCAGGACGGCGAGCUGUCAACUCGUCAAUCCCAGUUCGAAUCUGGGU